GCGGCGGACGGGUUAGUAACGCGUGGGAAUGUACCCUUCUCUACGGAAUAGCCAUUGGAAACGAUGAGUAAUACCGUAUACGCCCUUUUGGGGAAAGAUUUAUCGGAGAAGGAUCAGCCCGCGUUAGAUUAGAUAGUUGGUGGGGUAAUGGCCUACCAAGUCUACGAUCUAUAGCUGGUUUUAGAGGAUGAUCAGCAACACUGGGACUGAGACACGGCCCAGACUCCUACGGGAGGCAGCAGUGGGGAAUCUUAGACAAUGGGCGCAAGCCUGAUCUAGCCAUGCCGCGUGAGUGAUGAAGGCCUUAGGGUCGUAAAGCUCUUUCGCCAGGGAUGAUAAUGACAGUACCUGGUAAAGAAACCCCGGCUAACUCCGUGCCAGCAGCCGCGGUAAUACGGAGGGGGUUAGCGUUGUUCGGAAUUACUGGGCGUAAAGCGCACGUAGGCGGAUUAGAAAGUAUGGGGUGAAAUCCCAGGGCUCAACCCUGGAACUGCCUCAUAAACUCCUAGUCUAGAGUUCGAGAGAGGUGAGUGGAAUUCCGAGUGUAGAGGUGAAAU
rnacentral:rRNA from 1 species